UGAAAUUCUAGUGAGGGGUUCAAAGCAAC
rnacentral:piRNA from 1 species